rnacentral:lncRNA from 10 species
GGCUCUCCCCACAGCCCUGCUCUGACCCCUCUUCCAGUGGCUGCCCCUCCCCCCAGCAGGACAUCGGCCUCCCAGCCUCACACAUGGAGCCAUCACCUGGUCCCUCCUGGUGCCAUCUCCAGCCACCCAUGAAUCCUUGCUCUUCCCAACUCAGUCCUUAGCAACCCUCACGUGGAGGAACAGUGUUGUGCCCUUGGUGCUCCUCCUCCUCCUCUGCCGGGCAAAUGAGCAGCCCCCAGUCGCUGAGGCAGGCUCCCUGUCCCCUUAGGGAGACACAGAUGCUCCCUGCACCUACCCCCAAGCCUGGACAGGGAGCUCCUCGCGUCAGCCUGGAGUCGUCACAACAGAACCCCAGGCCAGUCUCCUCUCCUGAUCAACAUCUCAAGCCAUUUUCAGUCCAGCUUGGGAGCCUGCCCCUGCUCUCCCCACGAAGCCCAAUGUGUGAACAGCAGAGUAAAGGACGGACCUAAAAGACCACGGAGUUGGAACCUCGAAGAAAACUCAGAUGGCCCACAUGGGGCCUCCCCUACUCUGGCCCUGCCCUAUCCCAGGGCUCAGUGAACUGCACAGAAACUGAUACCUCCACUCCUGGCACACUCAGCCCAGCAGUGGUGUCCUUGAGGCUUUCUGUGACCUCCUCCCCUCCUCAGUGGUCCCAGUAUGGCUGUUGCAGGUGGUGCCUGAGCGCCCCAGACCGCUGACCCUCCCUGCCUGACCUCACACCCCACCCCGCCCCCACCCAGGACUCAGUCUUCCCCGCUAUGUUUCCCACCUCUGCUCAUGCUGUCCUCUCUUCCAGGCACCCUUCCCCUUCAACUGAUUUCUGCAUUCUGUGGCCUCUUAACAAUCUGCCUCUGAUGGUGCUUCCUCCAGGGACACCUCCCUGCUACCCCCCG